GAUGAAGAACGUAGUGAAAUGCGAUAAGUAAUGUGAAUUGCAGAAUUCAGUGAAUCAUCGAAUCUUUGAACGCACAUUGCGCCCCUUGGUAUUCCGAGGGGCAUGCCUGUUCGAGCGUCAUUAUAACCCCUCAAGCUCAGCUUGGUGUUGGGGCCUGCUGCACUGGCAGCCCUUAAAAUCAGUGGCGGCGCCAUCUGGCUCUAAGCGUAGUAAUUCUUCUCGCUAUGGAGUCCUGGUGGAUGCUUGCCAUCAACCCCCAAUUUUUCUAUGGUUGACCUCGGAUCAGGUAGGGAUACCCGCUGAACUUAAGCAUAUCAAUAGCGGAGGA
rnacentral:misc_RNA from 1 species